rnacentral:lncRNA from 1 species
UCCCAUCUUCUUUCUCCUCAAACCUUUGCAGCCCUCACCACCCAAAACCCUAGCCCCCCCCCCAUUUCUCUUCCCCCCCCCCUCCAAGGUGCAGCCCUCCCGCGUGUUCUCCGUCGUGUGGCUGUGAUCUCAAUUGGAGUUUGGAGGGAGGAAGAAGGAAGGAGGAAGGGAAGAACCCAAGGUGAAUUCAUGUUUCACUUUUGUUGUUUUUGUGCUGCAAUCAAUUGGAUUAUGCGUUUAUCUUUGCGAAUCGGUAGAGGUGUUGUCCAGGAAUUUUGUGAGUGGGUGGACAGCAGUAGUUCUAGGGAUUUCUGGAAAUUUUCGUGGGAUAAUUAGUGGGAAUCAGUGGGAUAAUCAAGUAGAGCUUUGUCAUACCUUUCCAACAAGUACUUAUGCGCUCGAUUCGGAGUUAUAAUUUAGGAGAUAUCAUUGUUUGAAUCCGAAUAUGUUGCUGUCCAAAAAAACAGAUUUUUCAGGUGGGUGAACAGCAGUAGUAUUAGCAGUUUCUGGGCAUUUUUCGUGGAUAAUUAGUGAUAACCAGUAUGAUAAUCAUGUAGGGAUUUGUCUUAUCUUUCCAAUGAGUACUUAUGCGCUUGAUUUGGAAUUAUAUUUUAAAAGAUAUCACUGUUUGAAUCCGGGUAUGUCGCUGUCCAAAAGACAAAAAAACAGAUUACAGGGUUUAUCUUGUGGACUGUUUUGGGCUAAUUAGAUGUUGGAAUUUUAUUAUAAAUUGUAUACAAAACUUGUGGGGAAUUUGGUGUAGAUGCCUCUGGAGUUUUUGGUUAUCACUACUGCUGUCAUAAUUUUAAAGUUAUGAAAUUAUUAAGCAGCGCUGCUGCAGUUUGGUGGGUGCGGGGAGAAUUGUUACCCGUGGCGGGGUUUGAGAUUGUGCGUAGGUGCGGCGUCGUUUAUGAGGCUUAUUAUAUGAAAUUGGUGCACUAAGUUGUGUGUCAAAAACAGGUGGUGGACUUCCGGAUCGUACUUAGGGAUUUGCCCAAACUUCCGGUGAAGGCAAGUAAAACAGUGAUGGUUAUUCCGUCUGUCGAAUGAAGAGUCUUAUACUUGAUUAUGUUUGUGCUAGUAUUCAUAUUUCUAAUUGAGUACCAUCGUUGGAAGAUAUUCAUGUUUUAUUGAUUACAUAUGUUGAGUUUGUGGUUUGAUCAUGUUACCCAUGUGGUUUAUUAAGUGGAAUGGGUGGAAGUAUAUGUCUAGCACAUUUUGUUUGGGAAGAACUCAUGUUGUUGACUUGCAUAAUGCAUUCAUCAUCCAUUGCAUUGAAGUUUCGUCGCGAUCUUAUGGUCCGACCGUACUGGUACAAUGAGCAUCAUAUGUUGACUUGCUUACUUGCUGCAAAUUAAUAUUUAAGAAUGAAGUUUUGAACUACGUUGUUGUUUAAGCACGAUUGGUUUACAUUGUCCAAUUGUUGUUUGCUCUGUUUACUUGCUGAGAUGUGUCAUCUCACUCUUGCAUUGUCUGAUGCAGGCACCUGAUUUCUGCUUUGGGAAAGAAAGGAUGUAGUUGCACGGCCACUACACCUUUAAUAAAGGAACCACUGCUUAAUAAUGUUGUUAAUCAGGGAGGGUCAAGUCUAGGGAAUUAUUAUGUUCUAGCCUUUCAUGGUAGUUGAGCUGAUUUUUUUGGGGUGGGCUGAGUUACCCAUUUUUU